UUUCAACAACACUCACAGAUGCUCUAGAAUAAUAAACGUGUCUCGAUACAAAGUAACGGUGUCUUUAUUAAUAAAUUAGUGCAAAAUUUUACACAAGAGGAAAGGGAGAAAGAACUAUUUUCAGGAGUACCUAAUAAAAAUGCCGCCUCGCCAAGACAUACCCCCGCAGCCAGAGCGAGUAAUCAUCCGUGAAGUUAGAGCUCCGCCCCCGCCAGCUCCUGGGCGACUUCAGCGCCCCCCACAGGAUCAUCCUGCCACGUAUAUUGCCAGGCCAGCCAACCCCACUCCAAACACUGCCGGGACGCGGCAAACUGUACAAUAAUUAAGUUUUUAAAUUAGUGUUAUAAUGCAAAUUCUAAAAAAAAAUUCAGCAGCCAUGGAUCAAAGUGUUUUAGCCAAAUAUUACCUUUUUAAUAAUGGUAUAUGGCUUUGAGUGGCGUAGUUUCUAAGAUUAUUUUAUUUUAUUUUUAUGACAUUAAUGUGUUAUUGUGAUGUGGUGAUCGAGAUUAAAUGAUAUGAGUUUAUCAUGCACCUUUACCAAGUAAAGCGAGAUAAUAUCAUUCUUGUUUGUACAUAAUAGCCACGAAAUAUGAUAUACUUUUACUAUUUUUACAUUAUUUAGAUGGUAAAGUUAGAUUAUUUAUUCGUAAAAAGUUAUUAAAUUUAAGUAGGCAUGUUUUUUUAAUAAACUGUUGUUCUUGU